AUUGAACGCUGGCGGCAUGCCUUACACAUGCAAGUCGAACGGCAGCACGGGUGCUUGCACCUGGUGGCGAGUGGCGAACGGGUGAGUAAUACAUCGGAACAUGUCCUGUAGUGGGGGAUAGCCCGGCGAAAGCCGGAUUAAUACCGCAUACGAUCCACGGAUGAAAGCGGGGGACCUUCGGGCCUCGCGCUAUAGGGUUGGCCGAUGGCUGAUUAGCUAGUUGGUGGGGUAAAGGCCUACCGAGGCGACGAUCAGUAGCUGGUCUGAGAGGACGACCAGCCACACUGGGACUGAGACACGGCCCAGACUCCUACGGGAGGCAGCAGUGGGGAAUUUUGGACAAUGGGCGAAAGCCUGAUCCAGCAAUGCCGCGUGUGUGAAGAAGGCCUUCGGGUUGUAAAGCACUUUUGUCCGGAAAGAAAUCCUUGACUCUAAUACAGUCGGGGGAUGACGGUACCGGAAGAAUAAGCACCGGCUAACUACGUG
rnacentral:rRNA from 1 species